rnacentral:rRNA from 1 species
ACGGAGGGUGCAAGCGUUAUUCGGAUUUAUUGGGCGUAAAGGGUGCGUAGGCGGCUUUUUAAGUCAGAUGUGAAAUCCCGGGGUUUAAGCCCGGAAUUGUAUUUGAAACUGGGAAGCUUGAGUAUGGGAGAGGGAAACGGAAUUCCUGGUGUAGCGGUGAAAUGCGUAGAUAUCAGGAGGAACACCGGUGGCGAAAGCGGUUACCCGGACCAAUACUGACGCUGAGGCGCGAAGGCGCGGGGAUCAAACAG